rnacentral:rRNA from 1 species
UACGUAGGUGGCAAGCGUUGUCCGGAAUUAUUGGGCGUAAAGCGCGCGCAGGCGGUCCUUUAAGUCUGAUGUGAAAGCCCACGGCUCAACCGUGGAGGGUCAUUGGAAACUGGGGGACUUGAGUGCAGAAGAGGAAAGUGGAAUUCCAUGUGUAGCGUUGAAAUGCGUAGAGAUGUGGAGGAACACCAGUGGCGAAGGCGACUUUCUGGUCUGUAACUGACGCUGAGGCGCGAAAGCUAGGGUAGCAAACGGG